rnacentral:rRNA from 1 species
UACGACCACAUCACGUUGAAACACCGGUUCUUGUACGAUCAUCGAAGUUAAGCAACAUCGAACCUGGUCAGUAUCUAGAUGGGUGACCGCUAGGGAAUACCAGGUGCUGUAAG